CAGUAGACGACUGGGUUGAUAGGCCAGAUGUGGAAGCCCGGUAACGGGUGGAGCUGACUGGUACUAAUAGGCCGAGGGCUUGUCCUCAGUUG
rnacentral:rRNA from 3 species